GUCACCUCCAGAAGUCAGCUCCUGGGAUACAAGCUCUGAGCAUGUUGGCCUAAGGUUUUGGAGCAGGUUGCCAGGGCCCCUAGUGCUCCUUCUCCAUGGACCCUCUGUCCAUCUAGGAUGCCGGGACAGAAGCAACAGGAACACAGAAGCCUGCUCGCCAAGGCUGAACCAGCGUAACAGGGUCUGCUUCCUCCAGGGAGGCACGCACAGGAAGGCCCACACACCGAGAGCAGGAAGUCAGCUUGUCUCUCUCCUAAAGAUGGGCACUGCUGAAGUUAGAGAAAUAUGGAAACAAGGGUGACCAUGAACAUGCAGCGCUCUGAAGAGUGCCGUGAGUAGGUUUUAAGCUGAGCCCCCUCCCCCCCACGUCCCCGCUCUUUGUAGAGGACAAGAGCAGGCACUUGGGUACUGGGUUCUCAGUAUCUGCCCUCUGUGUUUACAUGUUCCGUCCAUCCAUGGAUGGAUACUGUAGUCUGUGAAUGCUCAAGAUCCCAGAGGCCAACCUCGGCCGGAUGUGUCUGUUCUUCUGAAAGCACUUGAUGAUCAAAAAGACACAUCCAGAGAUCUGAUUGGUUGAGGUUAGCUGGUUUGGUGAUUGGCACGUGUGUAUAUUUCUAUCCUUACGUCUCCGUGUGUCGUUCUGUUGCUGCAAAUCACCCUUUCUGCUGGAUAAGACCUCGUAACUGUGAUUCAUGUCAAUAAAGGGAAUUUUGUCGUGCA
rnacentral:lncRNA from 1 species